GCGGGCGUGGUGGAACUGGUAGACACGCUUGGUUUAGGUCCAAGUGCCUAACAGCUUGGGGGUUCGAGUCCCUCCGCCCGCACCA
rnacentral:tRNA from 3 species